GAAAGCUAUAUGCGCUGCGAGAGAGCUUUGCGUCCCAUUAGUUAGUUGGUGAGGUAACGGCUCACCAAGACGAUGAUGGGUAGCCGGCCUGAGAGGGUGAACGGCCACAAGGGGACUGAGACACGGCCCUUACUCCUACGGGAGGCAGCAGUGGGGAAUAUUGGACAAUGGACCAAAGUCUGAUCCAGCAAUUCUGUGUGCACGAUGAAGUUUUUCGGAAUGUAAAGUGCUUUCAGUUGGGAAGAAGAAAGUGACGGUACCAACAGAAGAAGCGACGGCUAAAUACGUGCCAGCAGCCGCGGUAAUACGAAUGUCGCAAGCGUUAUCCGGAUUUAUUGGGCGUAAAGCGCGUCUAGGCGGUUUGGUAAGUCUGAUGUGAAAAUGCGGGGCUCAACUCCGUAUUGCGUUGGAAACUGCCAAACUAGAGUACUGGAGAGGUAGGCGGAACUACAAGUGUAGAGGUGAAAUUCGUAGAUAUUUGUAGGAAUGCCGAUGGGGAAGCCAGCCUACUGGACAGAUACUGACGCUAAAGCGCGAAAGCGUGGGUAG
rnacentral:rRNA from 1 species